UUGAUCAUGGCUCAGAUUGAACGCUGGCGGCAUGCCUUACACAUGCAAGUCGAACGGCAGCAUGAUCUAGCUUGCUAGAUUGAUGGCGAGUGGCGAACGGGUGAGUAAUACAUCGGAACGUGCCCUGUAGUGGGGGAUAACUAGUCGAAAGAUUAGCUAAUACCGCAUACGACCUGAGGGUGAAAGUGGGGGACCGCAAGGCCUCAUGCUAUAGGAGCGGCCGAUGUCUGAUUAGCUAGUUGGUGAGGUAAAGGCUCACCAAGGCGACGAUCAGUAGCUGGUCUGAGAGGACGAUCAGCCACACUGGGACUGAGACACGGCCCAGACUCCUACGGGAGGCAGCAGUGGGGAAUUUUGGACAAUGGGGGCAACCCUGAUCCAGCAAUGCCGCGUGUGUGAAGAAGGCCUUCGGGUUGUAAAGCACUUUUGUCCGGAAAGAAAUCGCACUUACUAAUAUUAGGUGUGGAUGACGGUACCGGAAGAAUAAGGACCGGCUAACUACGUGCCAGCAGCCGCGGUAAUACGUAGGGUCCAAGCGUUAAUCGGAAUUACUGGGCGUAAAGCGUGCGCAGGCGGUUGUGCAAGACCGAUGUGAAAUCCCCGGGCUUAACCUGGGAAUUGCAUUGGUGACUGCACGGCUAGAGUGUGUCAGAGGGGGUAGAAUUCCACGUGUAGCAGUGAAAUGCGUAGAGAUGUGGAGGAAUACCGAUGGCGAAGNCAGCCCCCNUGGGAUAACACUGACGCUCAUGCACGAAAGCGUGGAGAGCAAACAGGAUUAGAUACCCUGGUAGUCCACGCCCUAAACGAUGUCAACUAGUUGUUGGGGAUUCAUUUCCUUAGUAACGUAGCUAACGCGUGAAGUUGACCGCCUGGGGAGUACGGUCGCAAGAUUAAAACUCAAAGGAAUUGACGGGGACCCGCACAAGCGGUGGGUGAUGUGGAUUAAUUCGAUGCAACGCGAAAAACCUUACCUACCCUUGACAUGCCACCAACGAAGCAGAGAUGCAUUAGGUGCUCGAAAGAGAAAGUGGACACAGGUGCUGCAUGGCUGUCGUCAGCUCGUGUCGUGAGAGGUUGGGUUAAGUCCCGCAACGAGCGCAACCCUUGUCUCUAGUUGCUACGAAAGGGCACUCUAGAGAGACUGCCGGUGACAAACCGGAGGAAGGUGGGGAUGACGUCAAGUCCUCAUGGCCCUUAUGGGUAGGGCUUCACACGUCAUACAAUGGUGCAUACAGAGGGUUGCCAAGCCGCGAGGUGGAGCUAAUCCCAGAAAAUGCAUCGUAGUCCGGAUCGUAGUCUGCAACUCGACUACGUGAAGCUGGAAUCGCUAGUAACCGCGGAUCAGCAUGCCGCGGUGAAUACGUUCCCGGGUCUUGUACACACCGCCCGUCACACCAUGGGAGUGGGUUUUGCCAGAAGUAGUUAGCCUAACCGCAAGGGGGG
rnacentral:rRNA from 1 species